AACAGGAUUAGAUACCCUGGUAGUCCACGCCGUAAACGAUGUCGACUUGGAGGUUGUGCCCUUGAGGCGUGGCUUCCGGAGCUAACGCGUUAAGUCGACCGCCUGGGGAGUACGGCCGCAAGGUUAAAACUCAAAUGAAUUGACGGGGGCCCGCACAAGCGGUGGAGCAUGUGGUUUAAUUCGAUGCAACGCGAAGAACCUUACCUGGUCUUGACAUCCACAGAACUUGGCAGAGAUGCCUUGGUGCCUUCGGGAACUGUGAGACAGGUGCUGCAUGGCUGUCGUCAGCUCGUGUUGUGAAAUGUUGGGUUAAGUCCCGCAACGAGCGCAACCCUUAUCCUUUGUUGCCAGCGAUUCGGUCGGGAACUCAAAGGAGACUGCCGGUGAUAAACCGGAGGAAGGUGGGGAUGACGUCAAGUCAUCAUGGCCCUUACGAGUAGGGCUACACACGUGCUACAAUGGCGCAUACAAAGAGAAGCGACCUCGCGAGAGCAAGCGGACCUCAUAAAGUGCGUCGUAGUCCGGAUCGGAGUCUGCAACUCGACUCCGUGAAGUCGGAAUCGCUAGUAAUCGUGGAUCAGAAUGCCACGGUGAAUACGUUCCCGGGCCUUGUACACACCGCCCGUCACACCAUGGGAGUGGGUUGCAAAAGAAGUAGGUAGCUUAACCUUCGGGAGGGCGCUUACCACUUUGUGAUUCAUGACUGGGGUGAAGUCGUAACAAGGUAACC
rnacentral:rRNA from 1 species